UGUAAGGAUUUUCUAAAAAACAUUCCGGAAAGCAUUUUUUUAUCAAGGCUCUACCAUGAGUGGCUGUCCGUAAUGGAGAAAAGCAGCGACAGACAGAAAAUUGAAAAAAUUAAAAGGCUAUUAGACCAGCUACCAAGAGGAAACGUUGUGCUCUUAAGCUUGUGGAAUUUGUGAUAAAAAACUGCCGCAACAUCUUUGGAGGACACGUCACUGCCCUGUUUGGAGAGUCAUCCAGAAUAUAAAAUACUCAAGAAAAACCCUCAGAUACAUCUAGCAUUCCAGAGAGCAAUGCUUCCUCAUAUGAGAGCUUGAAGAAAAAAGCGACUGUGCUGCUGGCCACAGUGUGAUGAAUCAAAGAAAAUGCGUCCAAUUGAAGGGAAGCAUUGACUCGCUUAUAAUGUCUCUGGACUCUGGCCUUGAUGCCCUUGAAUUCUAAAUGAGCUUCAGAGCCUCCUGUAUGACUUUUAGUUCAGGUGGACCAGCCUCCUAAAGACAAGCCGAUGGAUGUAACAAUGUGCAGAGAUAUUCCACCACAGAAUCCUGCCAAGAUUCUUUCUGGCACUUGUCCACAGCUGCAUCAUAUGUUAAAAAAAAAAAAAAAUAGAAAAUGCUGUCAGCUGUCCUGUAUAAGCUCCACCUGAUCUACAAGGCUAAUUCUAUCAUAUUAACAGCUGUGGCUCACCUGUUGCCCUAGUUACUUGGGAGCUGAUUUCCCAGCAGAAACUUUGUAGGCCAGAUGAAGAGCUCCUAUCCUUAAUGCACUUCAACAAAAUUUCUGACAAUGUAGCAUUCUUUAACCUGCAAACUACAGUUCGUAUUUGAUGGAGGAAUCAAAUCUUCUCCUGAUAUGCAAACAAAAAGUGAAGUUGAAUAGCUCCUAUCUUGAGAAAAUACAUCUAACUUCCAUGAAGAAAUCAAGACUUAACAAUAGGGGGA